rnacentral:rRNA from 1 species
UACGGGGGGGGCGAGCGUUGUUCGGAAUUACUGGGCGUAAAGGGUUUGUAGGUGGCCUGCUAAGUCAGACGUGAAAUCCCUCAGCUUAACUGGGGAACUGCGUCUGAUACUGGCGGGCUUGAGGACAGGAGAGGAACGCGGAAUUCCUGGUGUAGCGGUGAAAUGCGCAGAUAUCAGGAGGAACACCGGUGGCGAAGGCGGGUCUCUGGGCCGAUACUGACGCUGAGGAGCGAAAGCGUGGGGAGCGAACAGG